AGUGAGUACGAGAGAGACAGGACGGUCAGAGAGAAAAGACAAGGAGGAAGCAGGGAAGCGAAGAGCGGGAGAGAGACAGAGAAUAAAAAGGUGGGGGAGGGGGACAGACCCGAGAGGGCAGUCAUGGUUUGAGCCGGAGCUGCCCACUCUCUUGCCUCCUCUAACCCUUCCUCCUGGAGAACCCCAAGAUCAGAAUCAUCCGCGGGAUCUGAAUGCAUCACCCCUCUGCUUUCGAGCUUUCUAUGGCUCCCCGGUACCUCCGGAAUGAACCCAGACCCCCGGGCUGUGGCUCUCGAGGCCCUGCAGGGUCUGGCUCCUGCUGCCCUCCCCCUCUGAUCCCCCCCUGAUCCGCAUGCCCCUCCUCACUGCUCCACAGCCCGUGGCCCCCCUCUCCUUUCCCCACUGGGCUGCCCCCAGGGUCCACACAUGGGCUCUGCUCUCUCCCCAUCCCUCCUGCCCCAGAUAACUCUGGACUUCUACUCCAAGGUCUCUUUAAAUAUCACUUGGGGGCACAGGGCUGAACCCGACGGGCAACACUCCCUUCCUGAGCUCAAGGUUCAGAACAGGAGCCCGAUGAUACACAAGCAAUGAAUGAAAGGAGAUGAGAUUUAAGGCCCUGGGUGGAAAAGCAACGCCUGACCUUCUGAGCAUUCUCCAUGCCAGACCCUGCUCAGAAUACUUUAUGUGCAUUUAUUGCAUCUCUCUCCAGCCUGAAAGGUGGGGGCCAGUACUGCCUUCACCCCAAGAGCAGUGAAACCAGGCUGCUCACAGCUUGUCGGGGCAGAGCUGGGCUGUGAAACCACCAGGCUUCACGGUGGCUCCAAACGGUUCCACUCCACCCACAGUGGCCUUCUUGCCAUUUCCGAAUAUAUUGAGCUCAUUUCUGCCCUAGGGGCUUUGCAUUGCAGUCCCCUCUGCCUGGAAUGUUCUUUGUCCAUUUUGUGGUGCUGUCCUUAAUCAAGCCUCAGCUUCCAGGAAGGGGUUGGAGGAAUCUGAAAAAACAGAAGUCUUCUAGUCUUCGAUACUUUGGCUACCUGGGGUGAAGAACUGACUCACUGGAAAAGACCCUGAUGCUGGAAAAGACUGAAGGCAGGAGGAGAAGGGGAUGGCAGAGGAUGAGAUGGUUGGAUGGCAUCACUAACUCAA